CUUAUUGUGGUUUUGUUUUGCAUUUCCCUGAGAUGAUUAGUGAUGUUGAACAUCUUUUCAUAAGUCAUUUGGCCAUCUGCAUGUCUUCUUUGGAAAAAUUACUAUUCAGGUCCUCCACCCAUUUUGUAAUUAGAUUGUUUUUUUUGUUGUUGAGUUGUGUAAGUUCUUUAUAUAUUUUGGAUAUUAACCUCUUCUUGAAUACAUCAUUUGUAAACAUAUUCUCCCAUUCAGUAGGUUGUCUUUUUUUGUUUUGUUAAUUGUUUCCUUCACUAUGCAGAAACUUUUUAUUU